rnacentral:ncRNA from 1 species
CCCUGUGGUGCUUUGUGCCGGAUUGCGGGCCACGUUAAACAUUCCGCUAAAGAGGUAAGGGUU